ACAGCAUUGAAUUUUCCCUCCAUUUGUCUGACAAGAGAAUUAAUAAACGUUACUCGCCACAGAGCUAAAUCAACCGGGAUAAAAAGGAAGAAAUUGAACGAGAAGGUUAAGAGAUUGGGUAAACCAAAGAACUUGUUAAAAAGAUACGUAAAAUUUCUAAUUUUUUUCGGAUUAAAAAUUCUAUUAUCCUCGCAAUGCCAAAAUCAAUAAAGAAGAAGUUAACAGUGUCUUUGAUAUCAGAUAAAUGGAAUAAUGUCAUGCGGAACAUGCCUUAUAUCUUACUUACGGAUAUUAUGAAGGAAUACAAAAAUGAUGAAGCAAGCAAUAUUAAAAGUUCAUUAAAUGAAUUGACAG